rnacentral:rRNA from 1 species
AAUGAACGCUGGCGGCAUGCCAUACACAUGCAAGUCGAACGGCAGCAUGACCUAGCUUGCUAGGUUGAUGGCGAGUGGCGAACGGGUGAGUAAUGCAUCGGAACGUGCCUUUUAGUGGGGGAUAACGUAGCGAAAGUUACGCUAAUACCGCAUAUUCUCUGAGGAGGAAAGCAGGGGACCUUCGGGCCUUGCGCUAGAAGAGCGGCCGAUGUCGGAUUAGCUAGUUGGUGAGGUAAAGGCUCACCAAGGCAACGAUCCGUAGCGGGUCUGAGAGGAUGAUCCGCCACACUGGGACUGAGACACGGCCCAGACUCCUACGGGAGGCAGCAGUGGGGAAUUUUGGACAAUGGGCGCAAGCCUGAUCCAGCCAUGCCGCGUGAGUGAAGAAGGCCUUCGGGUUGUAAAGCUCUUUCGGCUGGGAAGAAAUCGCACCCUCUAAUACAGGGUGUGGAUGACGGUACCAGCAUAAGAAGCACCGGCUAACUACGUG